rnacentral:rRNA from 1 species
UACGUAGGUGGCAAGCGUUGUCCGGAUUUACUGGGCGUAAAGAGCGCGCAGGCGGUCGAUUUAGUCGCGUGUGAAAGCCCCCGGCUCAACUGGGGAGGGUCACGCGAUACUGAUCGACUCGAAGGCAGGAGAGGGUAGUGGAAUUCCCGGUGUAGUGGUGAAACGCGUAGAUAUCGGGAGGAACACCAGUGGCGAAGGCGACUACCUGGCCUGUUCUUGACGCUGAGGCGCGAAAGCUAGGGGAGCAAACGGG